rnacentral:rRNA from 1 species
UACAGAGGUCUCAAGCGUUUGUUCGGAUUCAUUGGGCGUAAAGGGUGCGUAGGCGGCGGGGGUAAGUCUGGUGUGAAAUCCCGGGGCUCAACCGUCGGAACUGCACUGGAUACUGCCUUGCUAGAGAUCUGGAGAGGAAACUGGAAUUUACGGUGUAGCAGUGAAAUGCGUAGAUAUCGUAAGGAAGACCAGUGGCGAAGGCGAGUUUCUGGACAGAUUCUGACGCUGAGGCACGAAGGCCAGGGGAGCAAACGGG